UAAUACGUAUGGGGCAAGCGUUGUUCGGAUUUACUGGGCGUAAAGGGCUUGUAGGUGGCGAGAUAAGUCGGAUGUGAAAUCUCCGGGCUCAACCCGGAAACUGCGUUCGAAACUGUCUUGCUAGAGUACCGGAGAGGGAGACGGAAUUCCUGGUGUAGGGGUGAAAUCUGUAGAUAUCAGGAAGAACACCGGUGGCGAAGGCGGUCUCCUGGCCGGAUACUGACACUGAGGAGCGAAAGCUAGGGGAGCAAACAGGAUUAGAUACCCUGGUAGUCCUAGCUGUAAACGUUGUGCACUAGGUGUAAGUGGUAUCCAACCCACUUGUGCCGCAGCUAACGCAUUAAGUGCACCGCCUGGGGAGUAUGCUCGCAAGGGUG
rnacentral:rRNA from 1 species